GCAAAACUAAAGCUGCAAUUCUACCGUAAGAAUCCCAUCACAUCCAAUGUAUUUUAUCUCAGGGUGAAUUUAAAUGCAAUAAACUAGUUGUACAUUGCAUUUUCUAUAGUAGCCAAAAGAAUAUACAUUUACACAAAAACUAACUACAAUAACUAUAGCAUUUAGGCAUCAUCAGUGUGGUUAUCGUUGUCAUGGUCGCCUUCAUAAUACUCAUCGUCACGUUGGAUAUGCUUAUCUUGGGUAUGUUGAUUCACGCGCUCAUCUGGAUUUUGUUCAUCUUCAUCAAAAUCAGGAAUAUAAAAGUCAGGUGGUACCUCUUGCAUCUGUACGCUCGGAGCAUGCUGGAGGCAACGGAGAUUUUCCAUCACUUGCAUUUUUAUGGUGCCAAUGUAUGAUUUGCUAUUCAGGUUCUCUAUGUGUCCACCAGGAAGCUUCAGCGAAUAAUCAGGGGCAAAAUAUUUGAUGUAAUCAUUGUCUGGUAUUUCAUUAGGAAGUUCUGUGUCUAAAAGAACUCCAGUUUCCAGAGCCCAACAACGGGCGACAUUCUCUUUUGUGUAUCCCCCACCUCCAGUUACCAGCAGUGGCAAAUUAAAUUUCUUCACAAACCUUACACAUUCAGCAUGUCCAUCAAUAGAGAGGUUGAAGCAGCCCAGACGGUCUCCAGCAAGCGAAUCUGCCCCACAUUGCAGAACUAUUGCGCCAGGUAAAUAUGUUUCAACAACCUUUGAAAUAAUUGUUUUGAAGAGUCUAGUGAAACUGCCAUCAUCUAUUCCAUCCUUGAGAGGCACAUUUAUGGAAUAGAAUCUUCCAUCUCUUUCCCCUGUAUCCUUCAUAUCACCAGUUCCAGGAAAGAACUUAUCCCCAUACUUGUGGAAACUAACAGUCAUUACCCUGUCAGUGAAAUAAAAGGCC
rnacentral:misc_RNA from 1 species